GCUGGUCUGAAAGGACACCCUGUGUGGGGGGUAGCCAUUUUCCCCCAUCAGGCACAACCCACUAACUCUUCAUGGCUCCUGAGGACCAGCUGCACCUGGGCUAGGGCAGGUAGAGCCUGCUGUCAGGAGGCUCUGCUUCCCGAAUGCCAGAAGGCAGGAUGAUCCUGUUGCGUCUGCAGGCAAGUGUCCGAUACAAAUGGAAUGCACAGAGAACUGGAUGGAAGACAGGCACAGGAAAAGCAGAGAGCAAGGGCCUGCUGAUGACACAACCAGAAUCCUCUCGUGAAGGGGACUGUGCUGAGGAGACACCCCUGCCCUGGGAUGGCAAGCACGCUGGUCCCAGGACCCAGCGGUGUCUUCACCAAGGAGGUGUGGACAAAGAGCCCUGCCUGGGACCCAGGGAAGCCAGAGCAACAUCUCACAGAAAGAGGACAGUAAUUCAUACUCUUCAGUCCCACCAUAGUCAGUUUCCAUACCCGUUUAAAAAAAAGAUUCUAAGUUUCCCCAAAUAAA
rnacentral:lncRNA from 1 species